GUUUUUGGAGUCUUGUGAAAGCUAAGAAGAAAGCACAGCUCUUGUCCCAGAUGCCCCAUGGCCAAAGGCAUUUAGUGAUCCUACAUAGGAGGCCUGCAGAUGCCAUAUUUCAAAUCAUAGGAAAUUACAGUUUAGCAACCACUCUCUCCCCGUGGGCGCAAAUAAAAUUUCCUAAAGACUCCAGAUCGACCACAGGCGGGAAAGGAACUGUAAGUGCUCGGAAAAGGACAUCUCUCUGUUCCUCUAGGAUGGCAUCCGUGAUCCUUCCUUCCUCCCCACAUCUUCAUGCGAGGUUUUAUCACUGAGAUUCUGGCCAUUCAGUCUACACAGUCUGUCCAGGAGCCUGAAUUCUGUCUGCUUCAGAACUAAUCAGAACCAGCUUCUUUCUGCAACUUCACCAAUCUGUUUUGAAACUGUCCCUUUCUGUGGUGAAUGAGGGGAUAAAUAUAUUUCUGUAAGAUAUUUAAAUAAACUACUUUUUGUCUAAAUAUUUUACGUUUAAACUUUUUGAUAUUUACCCACUUCACUUACUAUAUUUCAAUGAUUUGGAUCAACUUUUUUCCUUUGCUCUUUUCCUCAACCAAAUGACUAUAUAGGACUUUUCCUCAUUUAUUUUUCAUUUUUUUAUACCUCUUCUGAAAUUUUUAAAGUAUGAUAUACUUAAAAAUAAUCUCCCUAAUCAAAUAAUUUCCCUAUUCAAAUCAAGGACCAUGAUAAUAUUUUAUAUUUCACAUAAAAUAAAAAACCAUUUUAAAUUUUCUGUCAAAUGCAAUCUAGGCUCAAUCACAACUCAGAAUUUAUGUUGCCAAUUAGACUACAGUAUGCUUUACAAUGUAAAAAAAAAAAUCACAGGGGCAGAUAGACAUAACAUGGAAAAUCUCUGUGAGAUAAAAGAAAUAUAAUUGAUGCAUCUUUCAGUCUGCCGCAUUGAUUUCUAUUUAUUAUUACAAACUCUUCAAAACAUAAAGAUUGGAUGUCAACAUGUUAUUCUGGAAGCACACAAUUGAAGAAAGCAUUACCUGCAUGACUUACUUUAUAAAAUUUGUUUACUAGAAUUGGACUUGCACGUUCAUUUCAAAGGACUUUGAAGUGAGAGGAGAAAAGAUGAUUUAAGGUUUUUUUUUUUUUUUUUUUUUUUUUUUCUUUUCCUUAAUGCUUUACUUUUGAGACUUACCAGACUUCAGUUAAAUAGAUGCCUUCUUGACAACCAGGAAUCUUAGUAAUAUGAGUGAAGUGGUAAAAGUUGAGUUCACCUAAACUUCCCUGUAGGCAGAGUGAAGCUCUGUGUAGGGACACUUUUAUCAAGCACAGCUAGCUGACUUUGAAAAUUCCUCCUGAGGAACAAUGAUCAGCGGACCCUUCUUACAUUCAUCUAAUUUCCAAGCCUUGAUGUGACAUAUGAAAUAAGAAGAAAGUGACAAGAAAAAUCAAUGUGUCUAAAUAGUCUUGCUUCGAAACAUAGCUGUCACUGACUUAACUCAGAAAUUGGCUGGGAUACUAGAUAUCGUUUUUUUGGUUUUGUUUUGGUUUUUUUUUUUUUUUUUUUUUUCUUCAGAAUGUCUUUUAGUGUCUGCAGGGAGAAAAAGGCUGAAAACCUCUCUUUCACUUGCACAGAAGGGAGCCUGCCUUAUUAGAGAGAAUUCAAAAUUAUAAACACAUAAAAUGUUCAGUACCUGGUCAUUCUUGCCUUGGGUUUUUUAUUCUUUUCUAUAUCAUCAUUGUUGUGAUUAAAAUGAAUUCAGCCACAUCAUAAUGUGAUCAUGGGCUUUUGAAAAUAUUAACUAAAAUAAGUCUCUAGAAAGUUAACUUACAUAUUUUAAGUUAUGAAAGCAUAACAUAUUGCAGAUUAUGGCUCUAUUACUCUGAUAAUUUUACUAUUGGAAUUUAGAAAUAGGAGAAAAGUUAAUAUUAGACUGAAUUUUGAACACAUUUAUCUUCUAUUAGAUUUCCUAUAAAAUAUGAUAUAAAAUCACACAUCCCUAUAAACUGGUUAUCAAUUAUUUCUCUAUUUUACAUAACAUUUUCUCUAUCAAUAAGUCUCUAAAUAGAAAGAUAGUAAAAAAAUGUAAAAUUUAAACAGUCCCAAUAAAAUAAAAUACCUUACCAAUCUGGAGAGAGAAUUCAGGUUUACUCUGCAUAUUAUAAAGUUUAAAAAUUACUUAGACACUUUUAUAAUAUACUUUUAAUAAAAGUUAUCACAUCAAAAAAAAUAGCAGGCAUAAGUAUAAACAUAUUGUGAUCUUUUAUGAGUCUUUUUUGAAAAAUAUACAACUUGCCAAAAAAUUACGAAGAUGAUUGUCUACUUUUAAACAAAGCAGUUAAAGCCAUUCAAUCUCCCAUUCACACAUAAAUGCAUUUGCUUUUCAGAGGAUAUUUACUCUUUAAGGGGACAUUUUUAACCUUGUGACACCAUAAAAUUCCAUGCAUGCAAAUUUAUUUGUUUUUAUUUUUCUGACAUUCAUUCUUAAUCAGAUAUUUUUCCAUGAAUUUUGUCAGGUUAUUCCACUAAAGGCAUAGUUUUAAUAGUUCAUUUUAAUACCUUGAAUAAUAGGAGACAAUCUGUUUAAAACUAAUAUUAGUGUCGGCAUUUUGUAAUAAAUUACAAAAGCUGAGCAGACAUGGUCUUUUGUGCCUUUUGGAAUUUCUUCUCAAAAUUGUGUUGAACUCCCCAGUAUUUGGUCAAAUCUACCAAGUUUUAACAUUAACUAAGCAUUCAAUGAACUUUCAAAUUUGAGAACAGUGUUCUCUGGCAAUGGGCGAUGUUGGGAGAAAGGGUUCACAUUGAGAAUCGAGAAUUUCAGCCCCCCGAGAUGCUAGAUGCUGGCAAAGGAGACCCAAAGGCCCGCUGUCUGGGAGACAUGGGCACUGCCAAUGCUGCUAACAGUCUCCAACCAGCUGAUUUUAAAAGACCAAAGGCUCUUUCUAAAGUGGCAAUAGUUACAGAUUUGCUGUCUAACUAACAGUGGCAUUAGCCCAAAAAAAGAAGUGCUAUCCUGACAACUUAUGAUGAAAUUUUCCUGUGAUAGCAGACCUAUAACAUUUAAAAAAAAAAAUGAAUGUCAAAGAUUUUUCCUCCAAAACUAGUAAUAUGCAUGGCUGACCUAUAAAAUAAAACAUUUCCUUGGAAGGGAAAAAUAAACAAAUUCAUACUCCAUUUUUAGAAGUACUUUGUAAACUUAUUUUUUUAUUCUCAAAUAGGUUCAAAAUUUGCAAUAAUCAAACUCUAGGAGAAAGGAAUGAUGUGAAUGUUUAAUGUGAUUAUUUCAAUUUGUUUUUAAUCAAAC
rnacentral:lncRNA from 9 species